rnacentral:rRNA from 1 species
UACGGGGGGGGCAAGCGUUGUUCGGAAUUACUGGGCGUAAAGGGCGCGUAGGCGGCCUGCUAAGUCGGACGUGAAAUCCCUCGGCUCAACCGGGGAACUGCGUCCGAUACUGGUGGGCUCGAAUCCGGGAGAGGGAUGCAGAAUUCCAGGUGUAGCGGUGAAAUGCGUAGAUAUCUGGAGGAAUACCGGUGGCGAAGGCGGCAUCCUGGACCGACAUUGACGCUGAGGAGCGAAAGCUAGGGGAGCAAACGGG